AGAAAAUAAACCAUUUUCGUAUGACUAUUAAUUUCAUAUACAAUAUAUCAAAGUAUGACUUUUCAAAACAUUUAUCUAGCCUGUACAUGCCAAAGUUAAAAUUUAAACAGUUUAAUACCGAGACAGCAGAUAGAGUGAUGAACUUGCUGACGAUCCCCGAGCUUGAAGCUUGAUCUUAAGUCUAAAAAUCAAAAAGACAUAAACAAACAAAGUAAGCUUUUAUAACUUAGUAAGUCUAUAGCAUAACAGAAAUUAUAAAAUAAUUAUGUAAUUUCCUGAUACACUUAAUGAAUUCGCAAAUACUAUAUAUGUUAACUAUUACAUAUAGUCAAAAGCAUACUUAAUUAUCAACUCUUAAAACCGAAUGUAAAUUCACCAUAAACAUGAAUAGCCGAAUGCUUAUAUACAUAUAUGCUUAACAAAUAUUAGCUCCAAAUGCAUAUACACUUAUUAUAACUAAAUGUAUAUAUGUAUUUAUCACCUGCAUAUAUCUAAAUGCAUAUAAGUGCUUAUCGCUUGCACUUCAUCGAAUGCAUAUAUAUAUUAUUCAAAUACAUAUGCCAAAAGCAUAUACUUAUACUUAUCAACCACAUGUGCCGAAAGCACAUAUAUAUUUUUACUAUAAUCUACAUUUGUCGAGUGCAUACACAUAUAUAUAUAUAUAUCCAACAAUUUCAUGAUAACCAACAUAUAUAUAUACUCACUAAACACAAAGAUUCGAACGUUUAUAUGCUCAUCAAAUACUUAGAAACAAAUGUUCAUAUAUUUAUCCAUUACAUAUAACCAAAAUCAUAUAUAUACCUAAUGCAAAUAAUCAUUUAAUUUAAACAGAUUCACUGGCACUUAGCUUGUUAGGCUUAAAGCCUGAUUUAGAUCACCGGCACUUAGCCUGCUAGGCUUAUAGCCUAAUCCAGUUCACCAGCACUUAGUCUGCUAGGCUUAUAGCCUGAUUCAGAUCAUCGGCACUUAGCCUGCUAGGCUUAUAGCCUGAUUCAAAUCACCGGCACUUAGCCUGCUAGGCUUAUAGCCUGAUUCAGUUCACCGGCACUUAGCCUGCUAGGUUUUAAAACCUGAAAAUCUCAAUUUCUCAUAUACAGAAUAAUUCCUCAAAUAUUUAUUAACAGCAAACACAUAUUCACCGUAGUCCAUGCUCAAACAUAAAUGAGUUUGCAAAUCAUAUUUUCAAUCCACUUCAAGUACUAAUAACUUAUAAUCAUAUAAAUAUAUAUUCCAACCUCAUUUAUAAAAACAUAAACUUUUAUGUCUUUAAUUCAAUCUAAAAACUUGUACACAAAUGUACAUAUAGAUAUAUAUUAAAAAUUAAAAGCCCAUACAAGUAUGUUAUUUAUAUUCGAACCUAUAUGAUUUUAUAUAUACACAUUCUUGCCUUUACCUAAGUUCACAACUUAUUCAUGUAUAUAUAAAUAUACAUAACUAAAUCUAAUACAAAUAAUUUACAUGUACUUAUGUAUACACACCUAUUCGAGCAUAAUAUAUAUAUAUAUAUAUAUAUAUUGUAUCUAAGCUCAAUAUGAAAACAUAUUUAUGUACAUCCUACAUAUUCAAAAUUAUACAUACAUGCUUAACAUUCAUAUCUUAUAAUAUAAUCAAUACUUAAUUAUAUAUAUAAAUGUUCCAUCUCACAUAUAAUCACCUUAUUUAAAAAAAUUACCUAUACAAUUACAAUAUACAUAUCACUAAUCAAAACCCAAAUUUUUUUUUUACAUAUAUAUAUGUAUAUUCGAAAACCCAUGUAUACAUGAGUAUAACACGCACCUUUUAUCAAAGCAAGAAUUUAUACAUGUGUUUAUUUUCUCAUAUUCGAAUCUUAUGUGUAUAUAUAUAUAACCUUCAAACAACCAAUUAAAUUCAGAACAUAUUCAUAUAGAUACAUAUAUAAAUAUUAAUACAUUAUAUAUUUAUAUAUAUAUGCUUUUAUAGCAUUCCUACUUUAACUUAAUUCAAAAUUUUAUAUAAGCAUAUAUAUAUAUAUAUAUAUAUAUAUAUAUAUAUUCGAACACUUCAUACACAUAUAUAUACCAUUUAUAAUUCUAAUUUAUUCAAUCAAAUUACUUCAAAUUAAAGCUCAAAAACAACUACAAUCGAUAUACAUACAUAUAUACUAAUUUAAUAUCAUUAAAUAGCUAAUAGACUUACCUCGGAUACAGACGGAGACGUUCGACUAUUCGACUACUUUUGUUUUUCCCCGAUCCAAAUUCGACUUCUUUAAUUCUUGAUCUAAAUAAAUUCAAAUUAAACUUAUUUAAACAUUAUUCCAUCAAAUUUAGCCUAAAUUCACAUAAAUGGGAAAAUUACAAUUUUGCCCCUAACAUUUUACAUUUUUCACAAUUUAGUCCUUUUUUUACAAAAAAAACACAAAAUAUUCCAAAUUAAUUUUACUAUAGUAUGGCUGAAUACUCAUAAUCUCAUAUAGGUCCUUGCAUGUAAUUUAUUUCACAUUCUAGUCCCUCAAUUUAAUAUUUUCUUAAUUUAGUCCUUAAUACACAUUUUUAUCAAAAAUUACUAAUUAUAACAUGAAAAUCUAACAACAUAUAUUUAUUUCCCACCUAUUAACAUCAUAAAACUCAAGCAUUCAUCAAUGGCACAUUUCAAAAUUAUCCACAAUUCACAAAAUUAAGACAUGGGUUUUAAAGUAUACGAAGCAACGAUCUCAGAAACGUAAAAAUUAUCAAAAGCCAAGCAAAAUACAUACCAAAUUUUAGCUUCCUAACUGCCGAAUGUUUAAAACACCAAAGGUGUUCUUUGUUCUUCAAUUUUCAGCAAA
rnacentral:lncRNA from 1 species